rnacentral:rRNA from 1 species
AGCAGCCGCGGUAAUUCCAGCUCCAAUAGCGUAUAUUAAAGUUGUUGCAGUUAAAAAGCUCGUAGUUGAAUUUCGGGGUUAGUAGGUUGGUCAUGCCUCUGGUAUGUACUGGUCUCACUGAUUCCUCCUUCCUGAUGAACCUUAAUGCCAUUUAUUUGGUGUUUUGGGGAAUUUGGACUGUUACUUUGAAAAAAUUAGAGUGUUUAAAGCAAGCUAACGCUUGAAUACAUUAGCAUGGAAUAAUGAAAUAGGACGUUCGAUCCUAUUUUGUUGGUUUCUAGGAUUGACGUAAUGAUUAAUAGGGAUAGUUGGGGGCAUUAGUAUUCAAUUGUCAGAGGUGAAAUUCCUUGGAUUUAUUGAAGACUAACUACUGCGAAAGCAUUUGCCAAGGAUGUUUUCAUUAAUCAAGAACGAAAGUUAGGGGAUCGAAGACGAUCAGAUACCGUCGUAGUCUUAACCAUAAACUAUGCCGACUAGGGAUCGGAUGAUGUUAAUUUUUUAAUGACUCA